UCCAACUCCUGACCUCAUGAUCCCCCCGCCUCAGCCUCCCAAAGUGCUGGGAUUACAAGCGUGAGCCACCGCGACCCGCCAACACUCUUGACAACAGUGCUGUGCUAAGAACUUGGGGGACUUCAAAAAGUUCACCAGUUCCUGUGUCCAUGGGUGAAAAGAUUUUCUACAUCUUUCCUUGACUAGAAACAGAAGUCCUGAAACAAGAAUAUAACGUCAGGAGGCCAGAGGCUUUGUCCUGCCUAAUGUGUUAUUUCCACACUGAAUAAAAGCACCUGAGUCCUGGCAUAUGGCAAGGGAGUAAAGCCAAACUUUUUACCACAUGGCAAAAAUAAUUGUAUUUUGCAACAGACUAAAAGCUUAAUGCUAUACAGACUUUGGGUUGGUGGAGUUACUUGAGGAUUUACUCCAGCAAAACAAAAAAAAGAAUGAAAGAAAGAGAAAGAUAAAAAUAUGAAAGAAGCAACAGACCUAUUCCAGAAAUGUAAUGAAAAAAGGCCACGAAGUUUGACAACUAUGUAUUAAAUUUACAAUCAGUCCAAAUUAGACUGGUAGUCAGAUUGAUAUGAGAAGUACAUUUUCAAAAAGAUGUACUAUACCAAAUAAUAUGAGUGCAAAACUCUGGAUGAUUUUAGUAAUAAUGUGAAGACACAUAUUUCUUUUGACAAUUAAAAAAAAGAAAAUGAAUUGGAAACUUCAGGAAACGUCAGAAAAUACAAAAUGCUCUGUAGGAAGUAAUUGUCUAAAUGAGAGGUGAAGCCAGUGGGACUUCCUGGAUUGGAUGGGGACUUGGAGAACUUUUCUGUCUAGCUA
rnacentral:lncRNA from 1 species